AAUUUUUUCUAGAGUUCAAACCUUUUAAUAAUCUAUAUCUAUACCUAUACAUUAUUUCUCAUGAAGUCUUGCCACGUGGCAGUCCCUCCUUUAUCCUUAUCUUCUCAUCUCUUCUCUAAUCAUAAUUGUUAACCUUUGAUAUUCCAAUCAAUGAACGAUUUUAAAUCCAUACUCUUCAUCUCCCCAUUAAGGAGUUACUAACGCAUCAUUAACUUUAAUAAUUACGAUGAUCCACACAAUUAGCACCACUAAAACCCCAUCAUCAUCAUUCUUCUCUUCUCUAAUCACAAUUAUUAACCUUUGAUCUUCCAAUCAAUGAACAAUCUUAAACCCACACUCUUCAUCUCCCCACCAAGGAGUUACUAACGCAUCAUUAACUUUAAUAAUUACGAUGAUCCACACAAUUAGCACCACUAAAACCCCAUCAUCAUCAUCUCAUCAUUCUUCAAAACCAAAUACCACACUCCAACAAUGUUCUAUGUUACAAACCAACUCUUCUUUCUAUUAUUCUUAUUAUUAUUCUCGAACGCGAGUACGAACCCGUCAACGCCAUUCAGGUCGA
rnacentral:lncRNA from 1 species